AUGGCCAGUGGUUAUGAGGUGAGUUACUCAGCAAAAAGCCCACUCUUAGACAACCUCUAAGCACUACCUAAGACACACUUAAAGCAAAGCAAAAUACAAAUGAAAUGUACAUAUAAGUCUUCAUCAAACACUACAUAUAAGUCUUCAUCAAACACAAUCUUGAAGGGGCAGCAACCAUCUUCAACACUCCCUUCUUGGUUCAUACUGGUGUCUCCGGUACUUCGGUAUAUUCACAUGAAGCUUCAUAGUGCCAAUGUAGAUCCGGUCGAGAUCUCCUUCUAGACGCACAACAUUUUUUACAUCAAGGAAUCGCACAAAACCGAACCUCCUUCCCCACUUGUUAGGUCUACGAGAGAUGAAAACCUCCUUCACCGUUGCCCAUUUUUGAAAUACCUUUGUCAUGUCCAACUCUCCGUACCCGUUGGGGAAGUUUGAAAAGAAGAAGGUAGAGCAAUCCUCUCCAUUCCCCAAUACCCCAUCCCUGCCGUAUCCCCGCUCUCCGUUCCUACUGUAGCGUGCCCUUCCCGUCAUAUCUUUAUCUACCACCUCUGAACAAACCUUGCGCAGCGGCGGUGAUGGCGGACAGUGAAGGGAAAAGUCAAUCAGAGAUAAUUUCAAAUGUGUUAAAAUUGUGUUUUCAUAUGUUUAUUUUAUUAUUAAUCAUUGUUGAUGUCUCAGUUUUUCAUUAUUUAUCUAAACUAAUUGCAUUUCCUUAAGGUUUUUUUCUUUUUUAUUUUCUAUUUUUAGAUUUUUUUUUUUCCAAAAAUAUAGAGUUUCUAAAAAAAUGUCAUAAAAAUUUCAUUUUUCAGCUUUUAUUUUGCCUAAACCAACUAAUGUAAUGGUUUGACCUUUCGAAGAGUUGAUUUGAAGCCAUAAUUGACCUAAGAAUAUGGAAGAAGUUGUUGAAGAAGGAAGGAGACUUGAAAAUUAGGAGUUUAACAAAAGAUAUGGAUACAAGACUUCUAGAAGAAAACUAAUAUUAUUUUUGUCUUUUCUAAUUCUUAGUUAUUUCGCUUUGUACAUAUGUCUAGCCUAUAUUGACUCUUUAUUUUACAUUUUGUCUCUUUAAAUAGACCUAGAAUCAGUGUAUUACUAGUAUAUAUUUAAACUCUCU
rnacentral:lncRNA from 1 species